AUUGCAGCAGUGGCGUUUACGUCGUUGGACUUCAGGGAUCUCUGGUAAGAAAGUUUGACACACUGAGGUAAAAGUCCUGACUUAAUAAAAUGUGUAUUAAAUCAAACAAAACAUCCCCUCAGAAAGUCUGGGCAGUUGUUGAAUUUUUAAAGCACAGCCAAAGAUCAUCAAUAAUAAUGCUCUGUGAAGCUAAUAGACUCAGGACUGAAAUGCUUAAACUCUAAUAGGAGCUCAGAAAUGUUGCAGAUUUGCAUUUAGGGAAUUUUACCAACUGUUUUAAGGGUUUGAUGGAAGAUUAGAAGCAGAUGCAUGACAAUCAAAUUCAACUUUAUUUUUUCUCUAACUGUAGUAGUUAAUGUUAAUGUAUGUCAGAUACAGAACUGUCAAUUAGGUUAAAUAAGGAAAAGAAAACAAGGUCAGGAAUCAAACCGGGUCAAAGUAGUGUUUGUGUGUAUUCUAGGCCACAAAAUAAAGAUGAAAAACAUUUGAUUUGGCUGAAACAAUAAAGUGCAAUAAUUAUAUAUUAAAGCAUGUAUAUUAUAUAUUAUACAUGUAUUAUUGUAGCUUAAUUUUUUAUGUCAAUCUGCUGCUUUUUAUGUUCUAAAUACCUAUAUUUGUGUCUCCCAAAGUGAACACAGCAGUUGAGCAGAAGCAAAUUUACUAAACAAGACAAAAUAGUGAACCAAAGCAUAUUGUAUUUUAUGAGUUACAUUGUAUGACAUCUUACUAUAUUAUAUCAUAUUGUAUUACAUGGUACUGUAUCGUAUUGUUUCAUAUCCUAUCCUACUGUAUUGCAUUGUAUUGUAUGGUAUCUUAUCAAACCAUGUUGUGUUAUAUUG